UGGGGAAUUUUGGACAAUGGGGGAAACCCUGAUCCAGCCAUCCCGCGUGUGCGAUGAAGGCCUUCGGGUUGUAAAGCACUUUUGGCAGGAAAGAAACGUCAUGGGUUAAUACCCCGUGAAACUGACGGUACCUGCAGAAUAAGCACCGGCUAACUACGUGCCAGCAGCCGCGGUAAUACGUAGGGUGCAAGCGUUAAUCGGAAUUACUGGGCGUAAAGCGUGCGCAGGCGGUUCGGAAAGAAAGAUGUGAAAUCCCAGAGCUCAACUUUGGAACUGCAUUUUUAACUACCUGGCUAGAGUGUGUCAGAGGGAGGUGGAAUUCCGCGUGUAGCAGUGAAAUGCGUAGAUAUGCGGAGGAACACCGAUGGAGAAGUCAGCCUCCUGGGAUAACGCUGACGCUGAUGAAAGAAAGCGUGGGGAGCAAACAGG
rnacentral:rRNA from 1 species